GAUUGGCUCUGGUGGAGCCGCAGGAGCUGUGGGGGAGCUGGGAUGGGGGGGCAGAGCCCCAGCGAAGGCUGUGCUCUGCCUCCCUGUGGCAAGGAGGGGACUGGUCCAUGGAUGGGGCUGGCAGAAGGUGCAGCAACGCUGCCUCCAGGGAUGGGAAGGGCCUGGACAAGGCUGAAGUGGAGCUGGAGCUGCUGAUGUCCAGGCGACCGGGCACAAAAGCAUCCUACGAACAUGACCACAGCUCCACCUUGACCACGGAAAACACCGCGAGCAGCCAAAGGAAGCAGAUGUCUAGCAGAUCCAUGCAACCCAGAGACAACCCAAAUCUAAUCUACUCCUCUAGCCUACGUGCUACAUUGCUUUCUGCCUUGCCGCUACCCACUAACGUGCGGAGGCAUGAAGGAGAAGGGAAAAACACAUCACUUUGGCUUUAAA